UAAGUAAGCGGAGGAUAAGAAACUAAAUAGGAUUCCCUCAGUAAUGGCGAAUGAACAGGGAUGAGCUCAGCAUGGAAAUUGGGGUGUUUCGGCACCUUGAAUUGUAGUCUCGAGACGAUUUACCAACCUGGGCGUGGAUGUAAACCUCUUGGAAAAGAGUAUCAGUGAGGGUGAGAGUCCCGUCUGCCAUCCAUUAGUCCUAGGUGUACGGUGGUCGUUCUAAGAGUCACGUUCCUCGGGAUUGGAGCGCAAAUUGGGUGGUAAAUUUCAUCUAAAGCUAAAUAUUGGUUCG
rnacentral:rRNA from 1 species